UACGUAGGGUCCGAGCGUUGUCCGGAAUUAUUGGGCGUAAAGGGCUCGUAGGCGGUCUGUUACGUCCGCUGUGAAAACCCAGGGCUUAACCCUGGGCUUGCAGUGGAUACGGGUAGACUAGAGGCAGGUAGGGGAGAAUGGAAUUCCCGGUGUAGCGGUGAAAUGCGCAGAUAUCGGAAGGAACACCUGUGGCGAAAGCGGCUCACUGGACCAUAACUGACGCUGAGGCGCGAAAGCUAGGGGAGCAAACAGG
rnacentral:rRNA from 1 species